UCGUCACGCUAUUGAUAAUGUUUUCGUAUGCGCAUGUCAUUCUUGUUUUUUUAGUGUGCUUUCUUUUUAAAUAGUGUGAGUGUAGAUAGUAGUCAGUCGCCCUUACAAAAAGGAAGCGCGCUUGUUGAUGAACGAAAUAUAGGGAGAACUAAGGAACACAAUUCAUUGACAGUACACAGGAGAGUGUCUCUCGUCUACAGAAUGGCAUACUACUCUAGACAAAUUACGAAAACAAUGAUGAAACAAAAACGACAGCAGUUAACAUCAAACUGUACGAAGAAAUCAAAAUUAUCACUCAAUGGCCAAUUAAUUUAACAUUAAGAUCGAUCAACGCAUCCUAGGACCUGUCUCCAUCAAUCUGACGAUCAUAAACGUCUAAGA